rnacentral:rRNA from 1 species
CGCGUAGGCGGCGCGACAAGUCAACGGUGAAAGCCCGGGGCUCAACCCCGGGUCGGCCGUCGAUACUGUUGGGCUGGAGCACUGUAGAGGCAGGUGGAAUUCCGGGUGUAGCGGUGGAAUGCGUAGAGAUCCGGAAGAACACCGGUGGCGAAGGCGGCCUGCUGGGCAGUAGCUGACGCUGAUGCGCGACAGCGUGGGGAGCAAACA